UGUCUAUGAUGAACAGUAAAAGGUCUGAUAAUACUGCAGUUCCCUUGCAGCCAGAACACUCCCAGCAGCCCCGUCUAAUACACCAGGUUCAAGUUGUACUGUGUGUGUUCCUAGGAGUUGCUGACAUUCUUAGAUAACUUGUAUCUUGGGUCCAGAAGACAUAGGACUCAUGAUAGUUAACGUUAUCGUACAUGUACCUAAUUUCUGGAGUGUGGUGUAUGGGAACUAGUCAUGUACGCAGUGUAUGAUCUUAAGUUUCAAGCUGAGACA